rnacentral:rRNA from 1 species
AUACGGAGGGUGCAAGCGUUAAUCGGAAUUACUGGGCGUAAAGCGCGCGCAGGCGGUCUUUUAAGUUGGAUGUGAAAGCCUACGGCUCAACCGUAGAACUGCAUCCAAAACUAUUAGACUAGAGUGUGGGAGAGGAAGAUGGAAUUAGUUGUGUAGGGGUAAAAUCCGUAGAGAUAACUAGGAAUACCAAAAGCGAAGGCAAUCUUCUGGAACACUACUGACGCUGAGGCGCGAAAGCGUGGGGAGCAAACAGGAUUAGAAUCCCUUGUAGUCC